CUGCUAAUACCGAAUACGAUCUUUUCGUCGCAUGACGGAAAAGAAGAAAAGGAUGGCCCUAUACAAAGCUAUCGCGAAGGAGGGGUUUUGCGUCUGAUUAGCUGGUUGGAGGGGUAACGGCCCAACAAGGCGAUGAUCAGUAGCCGGUCUGAGAGGAUGAACGGCACAUUGGGACUGAGACACGGCCCAGACUCCUACGGGAGGCAGCAGUGGGGAAUCUUCCGCAAUGGACGAAAGUCUGACGGAGCAACGCCGCGUGAGUGAAGAAGGUCUUCGGAUUGUAAAGCUCUGUUAUACGGGACGAAAAAGACGGAUGCCAACAGUAUCCGUCCGUGACGGUACCGUAAGAGAAAGCCACGGGCUAACUACGUGCCAGCAGCCGCGGUAAAU
rnacentral:rRNA from 1 species